rnacentral:rRNA from 1 species
UGGAUUAGUGGCGAACGGGUGAGUAACACGUGGGCAAUCUGCCCUGCACUCUGGGACAAGCCCUGGAAACGGGGUCUAAUACCGGAUGAUAUCCCCUCUCGCAUGGGAGGGGGUUGAAAGCUCCGGCGGUGCAGGAUGAGCCCGCGGCCUAUCAGCUAGUUGGUGAGGUAGAAGCUCACCAAGGCGACGACGGGUAGCCGGCCUGAGAGGGCGACCGGCCACACUGGGACUGAGACACGGCCCAGACUCCUACGGGAGGCAGCAGUGGGGAAUAUUGCACAAUGGGCGAAAGCCUGAUGCAGCGACGCCGCGUGAGGGAUGACGGCCUUCGGGUUGUAAACCUCUUUCAGCAGGGAAGAAGCGAAAGUGACGGUACCUGCAGAAGAAGCGCCGGCUAACUACGUGCCAGCAGCCGCGGUAAUACGUAGGGCGCAAGCGUUGUCCGGAAUUAUUGGGCGUAAAGAGCUCGUAGGCGGCUUGUCACGUCGGUUGUGAAAGCCCGGGGCUUAACCCCGGGUCUGCAGUCGAUACGGGCAGGCUAGAGUGUGGUAGGGGAGAUCGGAAUUCCUGGUGUAGCGGUGAAAUGCGCAGAUAUCAGGAGGAACACCGGUGGCGAAGGCGGAUCUCUGGGCCAUUACUGACGCUGAGGAGCGAAAGCGUGGGGAGCGAACAGGAUUAGAUACCCUGGUAGUCCACGCCGUAAACGGUGGGAACUAGGUGUUGGCGACAUUCCACGUCGUCGGUGCCGCAG